GUCUAUGGUCAUACCACCCUGAAUGCACCCGAUCUCAUCUGAUCUUGGAAGCUAAGCAGUGUUGGGCCUAGUUAGUCCCUGGAUGGGAGAAAUCUCAAAGUUAGGAUUGAAAAUGUAAUAU
rfam:Fukomys damarensis contig123359, whole genome shotgun sequence.